rnacentral:rRNA from 1 species
UACAGAGGUCUCAAGCGUUGUUCGGAUUCAUUGGGCGUAAAGGGUGCGUAGGCGGCGCGGUAAGUCGGGGUGUGAAAUCUCGGAGCUUAACUCCGAAACUGCAUUCGAUACUGCCGUGCUUGAGGACUGGAGAGGAGACUGGAAUUUACGGUGUAGCGGUGAAAUGCGUAGAUAUCGUAAGGAAGACCAGUGGCGAAGGCGGGUCUCUGGACAGUUCCUGACACUGAGACACGAAGGCCAGGGGGAGCAAAACGGGG